rnacentral:rRNA from 1 species
GACGAAGGGGGGCUAGCGUUGUUCGGAAUUACUGGGCGUAAAGCGCGUGUAGGCGGUUGCCAAAGUCGGGUGUGAAAGCCUUGAGCUUAACUCAAGAAAUGCACUCGAUACUUGGUGACUAGAGGACCGGAGAGGAUAGUGGAAUUCCCAGUGUAGUGGUGAAAUACGUAGAGAUUAGGAAGAACACCAGUGGCGAAGGCGGCUAUCUGGACGGUUUCUGACGCUAAGACGCGAAAGCGUGGGGAGCAAACAGG